rnacentral:rRNA from 1 species
CCUACGGGGGGCAGCAGUGAGGAAUAUUGGUCAAUGGCCGUAAGGCUGAACCAGCCAAGUCGCGUGAAGGAAGAAGGAUCUAUGGUUUGUAAACUUCUUUUAUAGGGGAAUAAAGGUAUCCACGUGUGGAUAUUUGCAUGUACCCUAUGAAUAAGCAUCGGCUAACUCCGUGCCAGCAGCCGCGGUAAUACGGAGGAUGCGAGCGUUAUCCGGAUUUAUUGGGUUUAAAGGGUGCGUAGGUUGUUUUUUAAGUCAGCGGUAAAAUUGCGGUGCUCAACGCCGUAGAGCCGUUGAAACUGGGGCUCUUGAGUGAGCGAGAAGUAUGCGGAAUGCGUGGUGUAGCGGUGAAAUGCAUAGAUAUCACGCAGAACCCCGAUUGCGAAGGCAGCAUACCGGCGCUCAACUGACGCUGAGGCACGAAAGUGCGGGUAUCGAACAGGAUUAGAUACCCUAGUAGUC